rnacentral:rRNA from 1 species
GAAGGUGGGGAUGACGUCAAAUCAUCAUGCCCCUUAUGACCUGGGCUACACACGUGCUACAAUGGUUGGUACAACGAGUUGCGAGUCGGUGACGGCGAGCUAAUCUCUUAAAGCCAAUCUCAGUUCGGAUUGUAGGCUGCAACUCGCCUACAUGAAGUCGGAAUCGCUAGUAAUCGCGGAUCAGCACGCCGCGGUGAAUACGUUCCCGGGCCCU